AUACUUACCUGGCAGGGGAGAUGCCAUGAUCAUGGAGGAGGUUCUCCCAGGGCGAGGCGUGUCCAUUGCACUCCGGAUGUGCUGACCCCCGCAAUCUCCCCGAAUGUGGGAAACCUGACUGCAUAACUUGUGGCAGUGGGGGCUGUGUUCACACUUUCCCCUG
rnacentral:snRNA from 1 species